UACAGAGGGGGCAAGCGUUGUUCGGAAUUACUGGGCGUAAAGGGCGCGUAGGCGGCCUCUUAAGUCGCACGUGAAAUCCCCGGGCUCAACCCGGGAACUGCGUCCGAUACUGGGAGGCUUGAAUCCGGGAGAGGGAUGUGGAAUUCCCGGUGUAGUGGUGAUAUGCGUAGAUAUCGGGAGGAACACCAGUGGCGAAGGCGGCUCUCUGGGCCCUACCUGACGCUGAGACGCGAAAGCGUGGGGAGCGAACCGG
rnacentral:rRNA from 1 species